ensembl:snRNA U2 U2 spliceosomal RNA
AUCGCUUUCGGGCUUUUGGCUAAGAUCAAGUGUAGUAUCUGUUCUUAUCAGUUUAAUAUCUGAUACGUCCCCUAGUCUGGGGACCAUAUAUUAAAUGGAUUUUUGGAACAGGGAGAUGGAAGAAGAGCUUGCGCCUGUCCACUCCACGCAUCGACCUGGUAUUGCAGUACCUCCCAGGACCGCGUGCUGCACCU